CGAACUAGUGUUGAGCUAAAUAUCCGGAGUUUUUAGGCGCAUGAUGUGCGUGGUAUAGCACAAUUGAAAGGAGUAUUUAGGGGUGAAAGGCCAGACAAAAACUAAGAUAUCUUGAUACCAUAAAAAUGUAUGUAGUACUUUAGACAAAUAUAGAGUGGUUAGGCUUUAUAUAUUUAUAAUAAUUAUUUUAUAGCAACAAUGAUAUAACCAUCUAUUACUUUGUAGGACUAUUAUUGGAUUUAUAGUUUAUGUAGCUUAUAAAUGGUUACUUGCUGUAAAUUUCAACGGCCAUUGAUAAUGUUUCCAUAAGUACUAGUGUGAGACCAAGAUAAAGAACUCGGCAAGACUUUUCUUCAACUGUUUAACAAAAACAUAACUAUAUGAAUGUGUAUAUAGCUAUUUCUGCUCAAUGUUUCCAUAAAUAGCCGCAGUACUUUGACUGUGCAAAGGUAGCAUAAUCAAUUGGCUUAUAAUUGAAGUCUGGAAUGAAAGAAUUUAUGGGGAGAAACUGUUUCAUUUUGGUUGUUGGAAAUUAUUUAUUAGGUGAAAAAACCUAUAAAUAAACAAUAGACGAGAAGACCCUAGAAAUUUUAAUUACUAGCUAAAGUUACCUUUUUGUUGGGGCGACAAAGUAGCAUGUGUAAACCUACUUUAAAGAUAUGGAUUAUUUAUAAAGAUCAAAUAAAUUACUCUAGGGAUAACAGCAUAAUAUUUUAAAGUUUGUGACCUCGAUGUUGGACUAGGAAAUUAUAGUUUAGAAGACGAUUAUACAGGCUCUGUU
rnacentral:rRNA from 1 species